rnacentral:rRNA from 1 species
UAAUACGUAGGUGGCGAGCGUUAUCCGGAUUCACUGGGCGUAAAGCGCUUGUAGGUGGUUCUGUAAGUUGGGUGUGAAAUCUUCGGGCUUAACUCGGAGUGGCCGCUCAAUACUGCAGGACUUGAGGAUGUCAGAGGGAGAUGGAAUUCCUGGUGUAGUGGUGAAAUGCGUAGAUAUCAGGAGGAACACCCGUGGCGAAGGCGGUCUCCUGGGGCAUUCCUGACACUGAGAAGCGACAGCUAGGGGAGCGAACGGG